GCGCCCGGGUGUCGGUGGCGCGGCGUCCGGGAAUGCGCCGCUGAUCCUAAACAAGUUUGCCAGCCAUGCUUUUCUCAUGGCUUCCGCACAAUGGCCCGUUUUCUGCCCACCUGCCGAUUAUGCUUAAUUAGGCGAGGAGUUGAUUAAUUUGAGGAGAAGGUGUCCAUAAUUUAAGUUGCAUUUGAGAGGAGAACACCCCAACAACUUU